AUGGCCUACUUCGUUGAGAAAGCGAAGGAAGAUCCAGAUUUCUUCUACAGGAUAAGGUUGGACGAUGAGGACCGUGUCAGGAACAUGUAUUGGGUGGAUGGUGCUGCAAGGAGAGCCUACAAACAUUUCUGAGAUUGCAUUUCAUUCGACGCGACGUAUCUGACUAAUAUGUACAAGAUGCCAUGCGCUCCGUUCAUAGGAAUAAAUAACCACAAUCAGUCGUUGCAGUUCGGCUGCGGGCUCGUUCGGAACAAACAGGAUGGGUACGUUUGGCUGUUCAAGACCUUCUUGGAGUGCAUGGAUGGACUUGCUCCAAUGAACAUAAAAACUGACCAGGAUUUUAGCAUGCGUGCAGGCAUAGAGGAGGUAUUUCUGUUGGCAGUGCACAGGCACUCCAGGUGGCACAUUAUAAAGAAGGCUGAGGAGACGCUAGGACCGUUCUUUGCUGACCAUCCAGAGCUGCACAAGGCAUUCGAGCUGUGCGUGGACCACAGCUUGACGGUGGAGGAGUUUGAAAGGAACUGGAUGGCCAUGAUUGAAACAUAUCAAGUCCAAGACAACGAGAUGCUUGCUAACCUAUGGGAGAAGCGAAUGUACUAG
rnacentral:rRNA from 1 species